UAUUACGAGCCCCAGCUUAAAACUCAAAGGACUUGACGGUGUCCCACCCCACUAGAGGAGCCUGUUCUAUAACCGAUGAUCCUCGUUAUACCCAACCACUUUUUGCCUUUCAGCCUGUAUACCUCCGUCGUAAGCUUGCCAUGUGAACGCACAAAAGCAAGCCUAAGGGCCUACUUGCCAACACGUCAGGUCAAGGUGCAGCUUACAGAGUGGGCAGUAAUGGGCUACAAUUUCUAUCUUAGAACAUACGAAAUUCUACAUGAAACAUAGAUCAUGAAGGCGGAUUUAGCAGUAAAUAAGGAAUAGAGAGCCUUAUUAAACCUGGCCCUGGGACGUGUACAAACCGCCCGUCACCCUCUUCAACAACAAUUCAACAAGCUUCAUAACCCUUAUACACAUUUCAGAAGAGGCAAGUCGAAACAUGGUAAGUGUACUGGAAAGUGCACUUGGAAUAA
rnacentral:rRNA from 1 species